rnacentral:rRNA from 1 species
GGCUCAGAUUGAACGCUGGCGGCAGGCCUAACACAUGCAAGUCGAGCGGAUGAAGGGAGCUUGCUCCUUGAUUCAGCGGCGGACGGGUGAGUAAUGCCUAGGAAUCUGCCUGGUAGUGGGGGACAACGUCUCGAAAGGGACGCUAAUACCGCAUACGUCCUACGGGAGAAAGCAGGGGACCUUCGGGCCUUGCGCUAUCAGAUGAGCCUAGGUCGGAUUAGCUAGUUGGUGAGGUAAUGGCUCACCAAGGCGACGAUCCGUAACUGGUCUGAGAGGAUGAUCAGUCACACUGGAACUGAGACACGGUCCAGACUCCUACGGGAGGCAGCAGUGGGGAAUAUUGGACAAUGGGCGAAAGCCUGAUCCAGCCAUGCCGCGUGUGUGAAGAAGGUCUUCGGAUUGUAAAGCACUUUAAGUUGGGAGGAAGGGCAGUAAGCGAAUACCUUGCUGUUUUGACGUUACCGACAGAAUAAGCACCGGCUAACUCUGUGCCAG